UUAAAUGGCCGCGGUAUUUUGACCGUGUUAAGGUAGCAUAAUCAUUAGUUUUUUAAUUGAAAACUGGAAUGAAGGGUUUGAUGAGAAAUUAGCUGUCUCUGUAUUAAAAUUAAAAUUUUAUUUUUAAGUUAAAAAGCUUAAAUUAUUUUAAAAGACGAGAAGACCCUAUAGAGUUUAAUUUAUUAUUAUUGAUAUUUUUAUAGUAUUAAGUUUAUAUUAUAAAUAUUAAAUUUAAUUGGGGUGAUUGAAAAAUUUAAUUAACUUUUUUUUUAUUUUUAUAUUUAUAGAUAAAUGAUUGAUCCAAUAAAAUUGAUUAUAAGAUUAAAUUACCUUAGGGAUAACAGCGUAAUUUUAUUGGAGAGUU
rnacentral:rRNA from 1 species